rnacentral:rRNA from 1 species
UGAGGAAUAUUGGUCAAUGGGCGAGAGCCUGAACCAGCCAAGUAGCGUGCAGGAUGACGGCCCUAUGGGUUGUAAACUGCUUUUAUGUGGGGAUAAAGUGCGUGACGUGUCAUGCAUUGCAGGUACCACAUGAAUAAGGACCGGCUAAUUCCGUGCCAGCAGCCGCGGUAAUACGGAAGGUCCGGGCGUUAUCCGGAUUUAUUGGGUUUAAAGGGAGCGUAGGCUGUCAUUAAGCGUGUUGUGAAAUUUACCGGCUCAACCGGUGGCUUGCAGCGCGAACUGGUCGACUUGAGUAUGCAGGAAGUAGGCGGAAUUCAUGGUGUAGCGGUGAAAUGCUUAGAUAUCAUGACGAACUCCGAUUGCGCAGGCAGCUUACUGUAGCAUAACUGACGCUGAUGCUCGAAAGUGCGGGUAUCAAACAGG